GACGAACGCUGGCGGCGUGCUUAACACAUGCAAGUCGAGCGAUGAAGCUCCUUCGGGAGUGGAUUAGCGGCGGACGGGUGAGUAACACGUGGGUAACCUGCCUCAUAGAGGGGAAUAGCCUUCCGAAAGGAAGAUUAAUACCGCAUAAGAUUGUAGCUUCGCAUGAAGCAGCAAUUAAAGGAGCAAUCCGCUAUGAGAUGGACCCGCGUCGCAUUAGCUAGUUGGUGAGGUAACGGCUCACCAAGGCGACGAUGCGCAGCCGACCUGAGAGGGUGAUCGGCCACAUUGGGACUGAGACACGGCCCAGACUCCUACGGGAGGCAGCAGUGGGGAAUAUUGCACAAUGGGGGAAACCCUGAUGCAGCAACGCCGCGUGAGUGAUGACGGUCUUCGGAUUGUAAAACUCUGUCUUCAGGGACGAUAAUGACGGUACCUGAGGAGGAAGCCACGGCUAACUACGUGCCAGCAGCCGCGGUAA
rnacentral:rRNA from 1 species